CCUCUUCCUGACAUGCAAAGGAGAGGGAUAAGCUGGUAACCUACUGCCGCUUGCCUGCCUGCAGCCCCUGCCUACAGCCCACAGGGGUGGAAACAUCUCCCAUCCUGCUGCGGUUCCUGAUGAGAGCUGAGGUGGCUGCAGGAGUGCUGGGGGAAAAUUAACUUACAACCACCUCUAUUUGGAGGGGCUUGAGGAGAAACCUCACUCCUAAAUUCCCUUCCCAGGAAUACUCUGUGAUAGUUACACAAAACCCCUGGUUAGGUCUUUCUGUUGAUGAACGGAGCUCAAAGAACCCCUCCCAGCCUAAAGGGCCAUGAAAGCUCAGCUCAAGGUGUAACAUUUCCCCUCCCCAGGUGAGCUUGGAGCAUACCAUCCCAACGCCUCCUGUGGUUUCACUUACUUUAUGCGACGUGCUGUGAGUCCUGUCCAUCUCUACAGCUGCUCCAGAGAAGGCUAGAUGAAGCAAGGAUGUAGUUAGACAGGAGUGAAACCAGAAGAGAUAAAAGAAAAUGUAUUUUAAAAGCUGUUCUGUGGCUGUGAAUCUUGCUGUAAAGCAGGAAGAAAACCUAUUGCCCCACCAACCAUCUAAAUUGGAGCAGUUCUUCAAAUAAAAUCAGACCCCAGGUCUUAGCUGGUGAUGUUUCCUCCCAUCUGUCCUUGUCCUUCACAAUGGCCUUAAACUUAGCAUCAAGCCUAGUGCAAGCCUGGCCUAUGCAACUGAGCAUGUCUGGAGAAGCUGGUGGUGCCCAGAUAAGUUCAAGCAGGUGCUGUGCCAGGCAGCCCCCAUCCCGAGAGCUGUGGGACAGCCCCAUCGUACUCUCAGGGGAAGGAAACUCCUUGGUGGGGGUCUAAGUGAUGGACUCAGGAACUGGAUGGGUCAUGGUGUGAAUGGGGGAGAAAAAAGAAGUGUAGAUGGAAAAAUAAAUACAGCAGAAGACAGGUGCUGGUGCAGAAACAGUGUGUGUGCGGCAGUGAUAGCUUCGCUUACCCUUCUUCCUCUUCCUGGACAGCAUUACCAAAACACCAACAGCCGCUGCAAGCAAAAGAACCACCACCACAAUGCCUGGAAUGAGGAUGUGCUCAACCACGUCCAAGCUGCAAGAAAAAUAAAGAGUUUCUGGUCUCACACUUCUCCUGGGAAGCAGACUUGUAGGACCCAGCAUGGAGCAGCAGUGCAGGGAGUGGAUGUAGCAGAAUUCACUCAGCAGGAAGAGGAUCCAGGCACCCCAUACCCAGCCUGCUGGUGACACAACAGCCCCAGACCCCACACCCAGCACGUGGAGGGGGACCCACCAACGCUGGACUGGAGGGACGCACAAGUACUGACCUGGGGACACGAUCACCUCCACAUCGGCACUCUUAUCACGCUGGAUUAUGCCCGUUCUCACCCCG